rnacentral:rRNA from 1 species
UGGGGAAUCUUGGACAAUGGGCGCAAGCCUGAUCCAGCCAUGCCGCGUGGAUGAUGAAGGCCUUAGGGUUGUAAAAUCCUUUCGUGGGGGACGAUAAUGACGGUACCCCAAGAAGAAGCACCGGCUAACUACGUGCCAGCAGCCGCGGUAAUACGUAGGGUGCGAGCGUUAAUCGGAAUUACUGGGCGUAAAGCGUGCGCAGGCGGUUUUGUAAGACAGACGUGAAAUCCCCGGGCUUAACCUGGGAACUGCGUUUGUGACUGCGAGACUAGAGUGUAGCAGAGGGGGUAGAAUUCCACGUGUAGCAGUGAAAUGCGUAGAUAUGUGGAGGAAUACCGAUGGCGAAGGCAGCCCCCUGGGCUAACACUGACGCUCAUGCACGAAAGCGUGGGGAGCAAACAGGAUUAGAUACCCCAGUAGUCCCUGAGCGGGCUGGCAAGGCGCAU